UUUAGCGCUGUAAUUAUUUUUAAAAAAAUAAUUAUUUUCUCUUGACCUCCCAUUUAAAUUCUUUAAUUUAUCGUAAAGGACUUCUCAUGUGACGUCACACUGUACGGAACAUAGUUGUUGAACCGUUCCUUGUCGUUUAAUUCGUGUUCCGUGAGAGUUUGACGUUUUCCUCGCUGACUGUGGGAGGAAUGAGAGGCACUUGGCCGGUGGCUGCGAGGUUGACAGGUUGGUGUUGGUGGUUAGUACCGUAAAUGGCGGUUAAUUUCUUCGAAAUUAAUUUUUAUUUCAACUAAGUUUGGAAGUAUAGUAAAAAGUUACCACCACUUGUUUCCUGGAGUACGGGUUUCCUGGAGUAAGGAUGGGAGUACCAUCAGUGGAAGAGGAAUAAAAAAUUAACCGCCAUUUGGAAGAAAACUAACCCUCAUGUGAUGUCGUACCCACCUUGACUACCUAGGGAAGCCACCUUGACCUUAUUGCAGCUACCGCCAAGUCAAACUGGGAGUAUGUUUUGGGAACAAGCUUUUUGGGGGACAUUCCAGCUCCUUUUCGUCCUGCCACCUGGGCCUACGGGGGGGGCAUGGAGGUGCAUCAUAGUGAUGCUCAUUUUCUAGGAUGCAACCGCAACCUCGUUUGGGAACAUUUAGUGAGGAGUUUUAGUAACUAUUGGUUUUUUUUAUAUUUCAGACUAUCUGUUAAAUACACUAUGUUUUUUUUUCCAGAUUUAGGUUACCUCUGUUUUUUUUGACAUAUGUAUUUGUAUAUUAGAUUAUUUGGUUCCCAAACUUUGUAUCUACGGUAACUUCUUGUGCACAGGAAUAAGCCUAGAGAAAAUUAGGUUUUUAAUACUUUAUUAUUGCUUUGAUAUUGGUUUAUGUAAUUCGGGUAAAUUUAUUUUGUAACAUUACUUGCUUGUUUCCCAAAUAUUGUAUUUAUUCGCUUUAUUUCGUUUGUUCGGUUACUUCGUCGUUACUUUAUUUCAUUGCAUUUGCUCGGUUAAUUUAGGUCAUUUUGUCGGUAUUUUUCUUAACUUCACUUCUAUAACGUUUAUUCAUUUGUAUAUUUAAUUUUGCUUUAUUCAGUAUUGUAUUUUCUCUUAGUGAGGCUUGGGCCUAUUUAUUUGUAUUAUUUUCAUCUUCGUCGGUUUCCUUUAGUUGUACGUAGCAGGCGUACUAUAACCAUUUGGUAGAAGACUUAUGUAAUUUUGUCCCCUAUAUGUUAGUAAGAGGUACUUAUAUUUAAGUUUGUAACAGAUAACAUUAUUGUUGUUAUCUUUAAAAUAUAUAUAUCUUCUUGUAUAACUUAUGUCAUUUUAGAGUCACAGCAUAAUAUGAACUUGCUUAACUCAGAGAUUGUUAAAAAUCUGGUAGUUAUUUUUAAUAAAUAUGUUUAUUUAUUUUGUAUAUCAUUUAUUUUUAUUAUUCCUUUAUGUUCAUUAUUACAGGUUUGAUAUAUUUAAUAUCUGACAGCAGUAUAAGAUACCUGGGAAAAUGAUCGAAGAUCAUUUUCAUGGCGCCCAUGAUUAGUUAGUUUUAUUUAUUUUGUUCGUUUUUAGUCAUUAUUCAUCUCCUUCCUUUUCAGUACCUUAUUCUUAUUUUAUUAUUUCAUCUUCUAGUCAUCAUUACUAUCUAUAUAGAGCUACUGUUCUUCGACAGGCAUGCAAACGAGCCGUAUCCAUCCUUGAGUGUCAAGUUGCUCUCUUGCAUCUAUAGCUAGCCAACUCUAUUCAGUUUGCCUCUGUCUCUUCCCACUUUACUUCUAUCCCUUCUAAUUCCCCCUUUCUUCAGUACUACUGCAAAGUAGUAUUUUUUCCUAUUGCGGCUUCUCAACGUAGAAGCCACUUCAUCCUUUUCUUUACACAUCCCACAUUCUCUUCUUUUCAGCCACAACUACUUAGUUACCUUAGUUUUUUUUUUUCCUUACUUCUGUUGGAGUACCGAUAUCUUUCUUUUUACUUUCACUCCAACAGAAGUUUUCUUCUUUUUGUUACACUGGCUGCCCAAUGCGUGGUGCCAACCGUUUUAUGGUUCUAAGACAGUAGUUCUUUUAGUUCAAUUUUCUUUUAUUGGAAUUUUCUGUUUUAUUAACUUUUUGAUAUCUUUGUAUAUAUGUUAUUUCUGAUUUAUUUUUGUCUUUAAUUUUUAUUAAUAAUAAACAGGUAGACUUAUACUGCUUCUUUUGGUUUUGGUUAGUUUAUUUUUGAUACCUCAUCUUUAGCUUUAGUGGUACAGCUCAUAUCUUAGUUUGGAUUUUGUAUUUUUAUUGGAAACUUAUUUAUGUAUUUAGAUUGAGUAUACAUAACUGACAUUAUGUUCUAUUAGUUAAAUUUUUAUUCCUUCUACCAAUGGUAGUACGUUUGCGCGUACAAUUAAUCGUUGAAUAUAUGCAUACAUUUUUUUCUAGUGUGGUUAUAUUUUACACCUAACUAGAAAUUAUUUUCAGUAUUUAGGUAUUUUAUUUACUUUAUUGAUUUGAUUAUUUAUAUAUUUUGCUGGCAUUUUGAUUUGUUGGUGUGUCGCUAAUAUUUUCUCCAUAUGUAUCUUUGUCUUACAAACUUUAGAUUAUAUUUUAUAUUUGUUAUUUUUGAUAUUUGGAUUGUUUGGUAAGACAGGCACACACCACAAAGCAAUAUCAGUCCAGAACAUUAGCUUCUAUACAUGAUACGUUGAAUUCGCAUGGUUCGGAUGAUUACAGAUGGUCAUCCAAAUUAUUUUUCUUUAAUUGGUAGUGUUAAACAUUACAAUGAUAAAUUGUAUAGUUAAGUAGUUCCACUAUCCAUCUCAUAUUCCAGUUUUGUUAAAUUUUGGUAAUAAUAUUAUAUCAGUGUGGGUACCAUAAUAUAAUGCUUAUAUGAAUCAGAUACUUUAGGUUGAGAUUCAAAUAUAAAUUCUUUAUUAGUUAGGAAACAUUGAUACUACUUUUCUAUUAAGUUAUAGAACAAUCUUCAGAAGAAGAUUACCUUAACAGUGUUGUUCAAGCUAAUCUCUUCUUCUGUUUGUCUUUAGCUUAACUCAAUCUUUAGUAUGGUUAGAAAUUUUAGUCUAAUUUUUUUUUCCACCUGAUAAUGCAGGUACCUACAUACAUUGCUUGAUUUCAUCUUUGGCUUUGUUGUUGAUGACUUUAUUUAUGAAUUUAUUACUUAUUGGUUUAAAUAUUAUGUAGUACUUUAUGUAUGAGUUUAUUUUUUUUUUGGUAUUAUACAUGAUGCAUUUUAAUUAUUAGUAUGAGUCAAUAUUGUUGAUUGCUGAUCCUGUCAGUAGGAUUACACAAUUAAUAAUAACUUCACUUGUAUUUUUGUUUAGUUUUGCACACCUAACCCCUAAGUUAGUAGGGUUGUUAACUUAUUAUGUAUUUAUAUAGUUGGAUAGGAAAGCUCAUACAAGUACUCUUGUUUAAUAUGGAUAUUAUGAUGGAACUAUGUUACACUACCAUAUCUCAGGUUAUGUGUUAUAUUAUUUUUGAAUACCUAUUUGAUUACUUACUAAUUUUUAUUAUUUUUUAUAUCUUGUCCUUGAAUUUGCCAUAUUGGAAAGAUGUGUUUUUUUUUAAAUUUGUUAUUGGGUUACUCUAUUAACAUUUGUCUCCAAUAUCUUAAAUACUUUAUAAUAAUUCAGACCCUUAGUUCCUAUACAGUAUGAUUCUGGAAUUAGUUUCGAAUUUUGAUGUAAGUAUGUAUGAAUGCUUGAGUCUUUCAUAUUUCUGCUUAUGAAUAGUCUGUCAAUGCUCUGAUUUGUGAAUGCGUGGGUUCGAAGUUGUUGCUCAGCAACUGAUCACUGCUGUUUGACUGGCUUCGUAAUUUAUGUCUUUCAUGGCAGAGUAGGCAGACGUUUUACCAUUAUAAUAUUUCUUGUUAGGAAAUGACGGUCGCAUGUCCUAACCAUUCUUCUGUAAUUAGUCCAAGUAUUCCAGUUUUUUUUUACAAUUUAAUAGGGAAGUAUUUAGUUCAUACUAGGUCUUUUACUUCAUAGUAUGUUUGUACUUUGAUAGUUGAUGGAUAAACAUGGAUAAAUAUCUUGCGCACUUGUUUAUAAAUCAAUGCUUACGCCAUCCCUAUACGCAGUAGGUUUGUUAAGUCAGUAUUUGGAGUGUUUAGACAAAUGAGUUGUUCAUCAGAGUAUAUUCCCACUUCUUUCCUUAGGCAUUAGUUUUGUUAUUUAGAUUUUUGAACAUUUCCUGAAUAAUUCCACGUAUGUGAGAGCGCAUGAAUCUGCAGUUUUAAUUAAAAUUGGUUGCCCGUUCUCGUCAAUUUUUUUUCCUAUCACCUAUCACAUAUUUUUUUUUCCUAUCACUUAUCAUAGUGUCAUAAAACUUAUGAGUUCAUCAUUUAUUCUGUUUUCUUUCUUACUUAUUCUUAUAUUAGUACCUUAUCUGUGUCUGGUUAUUCUCAUACAUCUGUUGUAGCAACAUGCUAUAGUUCGCGAAUACCAGCAUGAAUUAAGUUAUGUAUUUUCUAGAAUACUUUAGUCAAUACACUUUAGGUAUUUAUCUUACCUUUGAUUUAGUUUGGUUACAUCUCUGUUACUUAGUCUGUUAAUAAUUUUUUUUCUGACUUAUUUUGGAUUACUUAGUUCAGAUAGGUUCAUAUUACCGGAUGAGGGUGUAUGUAGACCUAAUUUAUUUAUUUUGUUCAGUAUUAGUUACCAUUGGAUCCAAUAAUUUAGUUUAUUUAGUAUUAGUAAGAAUUGGUCCAUAAAUUUGCCUGAUCGUUCUUCUUUGGAUAUACUCCUAUAUAAAUCUGGUGUCCAUUGAUAGUCCGAUUCUGGAUAAGUGUCCGAUUCUUCAUUUAUUUUGUGUAUUUAGUUGGAUAGGUUCGUAUUACCGGAUGUGGGUGUACGUAGACCUGAUCUGUUAUGUGGUUUAGUAUUGGUGUGAAUUGGUCCAUAAAUUUGCCUGGUCGUUCUUCUUUGGAUAUGCCUUUUAUGAAUCUGGUGUCCACUGAUAGUUCGACUUUGGAUUAAGUGUCCGAUUCCACAUUUAUUUUGGUUAUUGAGUUUUGGAUUCCUUUGGUAUGUUUAUUAUUGGUAUUAUUUGACAUUAGUGAGAAUUGUUCCAUAAAUCUUCCUGAUUGUUCUUCUCUGGAUAUACUAUUAUGAAUCUGGUGUCCAUUGUUAGUUCAGUUUUGGAUAAAGUGUUCAAUUCUUUACCUAUUUUAGUUACUGAUUUUUUUUAUUCACUUUGGUACAUUUACUUUUGAUAUGGUUCGAAUUGGCUCACACCUUUUCCUGGUUGUUCCGUUCUUGGAUAUACCCUUUAUAAAUCUGAUGUCCAUGGAUAGUUCAAUUUUGGUUUUAGUGCCCAAUUCGACACUCAGUUAUUAUUAUGAACUUAAGUACAAUAUUUAGUUUUGUUUUGACUUUUGAGCAAUAUAUGUUAAUAUUUGGUAGCAGAGAGUAACAUAGUAACAUUUUAGUAUGAGUUUGAGUCAUGUAUUGAUUUAUUUUUCCUUGACCAUUAGUUUAUAUUUAGAAGUAAUCUUGCGAAUCAACGUGGAUUGUUAGACUAUUGUAAAUUUAGUUGUUAAUAUUUUGAAGUUUAAAAAAAAAAAAUUUUUUUUUGGUUAAAAAAAAAUUUUUUUCCCGAGUAGGAGGGGAUUGUAACGGUCCACCCGUUAUAUUAUCAUUUUUAGCGCUGUAAUUAUUUUUAAAAAAAUAAUUAUUUUCUCUUGACCUCCCAUUUAAAUUCUUUAAUUUAUCGUAAAGGACUUCUCAUGUGACGUCACACUGUACGGAACAUAGUUGUUGAACCGUUCCUUGUCGUUUAAUUCGUGUUCCGUGAGAGUUUGACGUUUUCCUCGCUGACUGUGGGAGGAAUGAGAGGCACUUGGCCGGUGGCUGCGAGGUUGACAGGUUGGUGUUGGUGGUUAGUACCGUAAAUGGCGGUUAAUUUCUUCGAAAUUAAUUUUUAUUUCAACUAAGUUUGGAAGUAUAGGAAAAAGUUACCACCACUUGUUUCCUGGAGUACGGGUUUCCUGGAGUAAGGAUGGGAGUACCAUCAGUGGAAGAGGAAUAAAAAAUUAACCGGUAAAUCGUUUUUUCUACUAAUGUUUUUUAGUUAACCUUGAAUAUAUGAAAUAGUUGGUUCAUUGUUAAAUGUUCUUAGCCAGUCCCUUAGGUGAAGGAUGUAGAUUAUUUCGAUCUUUAUAUUAUCUUUAUAUCGAUCUUUAUAUUAAUGGGGUUUUUGGUUUUACAUAACCAAACAUUUUUGAAGUCCUCAAAUUAAUAUUGGAAAUAAUUACCAUUUCUCUGUACGUUUUAAACCGAUUGAACAUCCAAUAUAUCUAUAAAUUUUCAUUUCCAAUAUAUCUAUAAAUUGUCAUGUAACUAUCUUUGUCUGGUUCAAUACCAUUUCAUUAAGGUAUAUAAAAUGUAUGUAGAUGGCUAUUACUAUCUUAAUCUCAUGUUAUUUCAGAUAAGUCAUAUUUUAUAUUCCUAUUUCAAAUGCAAUGCCAUUAUUUGUUCAUGUUUUCAAACUCAAAAUAGUUCAAGGUUACCUGAGAUUAGUUUUUGUUCCAUUUUUAAUGGUUGUUUUUUUAUGUUAUUGCUUCUAAAAAGUUUUCCUCGAUUAUUUCUUCUUCUCUUUACUUUUGUUUACCGGUUUAUAUGAGAAAUCAAACGAAGUAUAUGUUUUUAGCCAUUUGGAAGAAAACUAACCCUCAUGUGAUGUCGUACCCACCUUGACUACCUAGGGAAGCCACCUUGACCUUAUUGCAGCUACCGCCAAGUCAAACUGGGAGUAUGUUUUGGGAACAAGCUUUUUGGGGGACAUUCCAGCUCCUUUUCGUCCUGCCACCUGGGCCUACGGGGGGGGCAUGGAGGUGCAUCAUAGUGAUGCUCAUUUUCUAGGAUGCAACCGCAACCUCGUUUGGGAACAUUUAGUGAGGAGUUUUAGUAACUAUUGGUUUUUUUUAUAUUUCAGACUAUCUGUUAAAUACACUAUGUUUUUUUUUCCAGAUUUAGGUUACCUCUGUUUUUUUUGACAUAUGUAUUUGUAUAUUAGAUUAUUUGGUUCCCAAACUUUGUAUCUACGGUAACUUCUUGUGCACAGGAAUAAGCCUAGAGAAAAUUAGGUUUUUAAUACUUUAUUAUUGCUUUGAUAUUGGUUUAUGUAAUUCGGGUAAAUUUAUUUUGUAACAUUACUUGCUUGUUUCCCAAAUAUUGUAUUUAUUCGCUUUAUUUCGUUUGUUCGGUUACUUCGUCAUUACUUUAUUUCAUUGCAUUUGCUCGGUUAAUUUAGGUCAUUUUGUCGGUAUUUUUCUUAACUUCACUUCUAUAACGUUUAUUCAUUUGUAUAUUUAAUUUUGCUUUAUUCAGUAUUGUAUUUUCUCUUAGUGAGGCUUGGGCCUAUUUAUUUGUAUUAUUUUCAUCUUCGUCGGUUUCCUUUAGUUGUACGUAGCAGGCGUACUAUAACCAUUUGGUAGAAGACUUAUGUAAUUUUGUACCCUAUAUGUUAGUAAGAGGUACUUAUAUUUAAGUUUGUAACAGAUAACAUUAUUGUUGUUAUCUUUAAAAUAUAUAUAUCUUCUUGUAUAACUUAUGUCAUUUUAGAGUCACAGCAUAAUAUGAACUUGCUUAACUCAGAGAUUGUUAAAAAUCUGGUAGUUAUUUUUAAUAAAUAUGUUUAUUUAUUUUGUA